rnacentral:rRNA from 1 species
GUGCAAGCGUUAAUCGGAUUUACUGGGCCGUAAAGCGCGCGUAGGUGGCUAAUUAAGUCAAAUGUGAAAUCCCCGAGCUUAACUUGGGAAUUGCAUUCGAUACUGGUUAGCUAGAGUAUGGGAGAGGAUGGUAGAAUUCCAGGUGUAGCGGUGAAAUGCGUAGAGAUCUGGAGGAAUACCGAUGGCGAAGGCAGCCAUCUGGCCUAAUACUGACACUGAGGUGCGAAAGCAUGGGGAGCAAACAGGNUUANAUACCCUGGUAGUCCAUGCCGUAAACGAUGUCUACUANCCGUUGGGGCCCUUGAGGCUUUAGUGGCGCAGCUAACGCGAUAAGUAGACCGCCUGGGGAGUACGGUCGCAAGACUAAAACUCAAAUGAAUUGACGGGGGCCCGCACAAGCGGUGGAGCAUGUGGUUUAAUUCGAUGCAACGCGAAGAACCUUACCUGGCCUUGACAUACAGAGAACUUUCCAGAGAUGGAUUGGUGCCUUCGGGAACUCUGAUACAGGUGCUGCAUGGCUGUCGUCAGCUCGUGUCGUGAGAUGUUGGGUUAAGUCCCGCAACGAGCGCAACCCUUUUCCUUAUUUGCCAGCACUUUGGGUGGGAACUUUAAGGAUACUGCCAGUGACAAACUGGAGGAAGGCGGGGACGACGUCAAGUCAUCAUGGCCCUUACGGCCAGGGCUACACACGUGCUACAAUGGUCGGUACAAAGGGUUGCUACUGCGCGAGCAGAUGCUAAUCUCAAAAAGCCGAUCGUAGUCCGGAUCGCAGUCUGCAACUCGACUGCGUGAAGUCGGAAUCGCUAGUAAUCGCGGAUCAGAAUGCCGCGGUGAAUACGUUCCCGGGCCUUGUACACACCGCCCGUCACACCAUGGGAGUUUGUUGCACCAGAAGUAGGUAGUCUAACCUUAGGGAGGACGCUUACCACGGUGUGGACGAUGACUGGGGUGAAGUCGUAACAAGGUAGCCGUAGGGGAACCUGCGGCUGGAACACCUCUUUC